GAGAAAUGGCUGCUACAUUCGCAU
rnacentral:siRNA from 1 species